UACGGAAGGCAGCAGUGGGGAAUAUUGCACAAUGGGCGCAAGCCUGAUGCAGCCAUGCCGCGUGUAUGAAGAAGGCCUUCGGGUUGUAAAGUACUUUCAGUCGUGAGGAAGGUGUUAAGGUUAAUAACCUUAGCAAUUGACGUUAGCGACAGAAGAAGCACCGGCUAACUCCGUGCCAGCAGCCGCGGUAAUACGGAGGGUGCGAGCGUUAAUCGGAAUUACUGGGCGUAAAGGGCACGCAGGCGGUUAAUUAAGUUGGAUGUGAAAUCCCCGGGCUUAACCUGGGAAUGGCAUUCAAGACUGGUUAGCUAGAGUCUUGUAGAGGGGGUAGAAUUCCAUGUGUAGCGGUGAAAUGCGUAGAGAUGUGGAGGAAUACCGGUGGCGAAGGCGGCCCCUGGACAAAGACUGACGCUCAUGUGCGGAAGCGUGGGGAGCAAACG
rnacentral:rRNA from 1 species